AUUCAGCCUCAGCUGAGGAAAGAGAAACAACAAGUUGUUUCUUUGAUUUCCAACUGAUUAAACAGCCACCCAAAAGCACACAAAAUCCAGUAACAGAACGCCUACUAUCAGGGCAUGCAGCCCAAUCACUAUCAGAAUACCUAGUAACAGAGAAAUCAGCAUGAUCAGAAUAAAACAAACCCAAGGAGGGAGUGCCCUUAAGGUAUCUCAGAACAUGCAGGGCAGCAGUCAUGAUCAGAAUAAAACAAACCCAAGGAGGGAGUACCCUUAAGGUAUCUUAGAACAUGUAGGGCAGCAGUCAUAUGGGGAAGUCUAGGGCAUUUGAGGAAUUGACUCAGAUGCUGGACUGCAAAACAUAUGUCAGGCCUAGUGUGAGUCAAGAACAGCAUCUUAUCAACUAGACUCCUGUACUGGUCAGGAGAGGGCAAGAUGUCACCAGAAUCAGCAUGAAGUUUGACAUUGAUGUCCAAAAGAGACACAACAGAAGAUACAUUGACACAGUCAAAAUGAUGCAUCAAAUCAGAGAUAUACUUAUGCUGAUUAAGGAGCAGUCCACCAGGGACAACUGACAUUUCAAGGACCAAAAAAAUAAUGCAAAGAACCCAAAUCAUUGAUUUUAAACUGAGCAUCUAGAAACAAUUUAAGAGCAGUAAGUUCAUCACUGUCAUCCCCAGUAAGUAUGAUGUCAU
rnacentral:lncRNA from 1 species